rnacentral:tRNA from 1 species
GGGGCUGUGGGGUAGCCUGGCAACCUGCGACCUUGGGGUGGUCGUGACCCGAGUUCGAAUCUCGGCAGCCCCA